GUAGCUUCAUUGGUAAAGCACUUGCCUGGCGUAUAAGUAAAGGUCGUGAGUUCAAAUCUCACC
rnacentral:tRNA from 1 species